rnacentral:rRNA from 1 species
CAGUCGCCGCGGGAAUACGUAGGUGGCAAGCGUUGUCCGGAAUUAUUGGGCGCAAAGGGCUCGCAGGCGGUUUCUUAAGUCUGAUGUGAAAGCCCCCGGCUCAACCGGGGAGGGUCAUUGGAAACUGGGAAACUUGAGUGCAGAAGAGGAGAGUGGAAUUCCACGUGUAGCGGUGAAAUGCGUAGAGAUGUGGAGGAACACCAGUGGCGAAGGCGACUCUCUGGUCUGUAACUGACGCUGAGGAGCGAAAGCGUGGGGAGCGAACAGGAUUAGAUACCCCUGUAGUCCCUGUCUCUUAUAC